rnacentral:lncRNA from 1 species
GGCUUGGGUGCCCCAGCACUUUGCACCUUUUUCUUAUUCUUCUUGCUCUUCUUUUCUUUCUUAAAGGAUCGACGUUCAGAAAAAAAUCUUCCUACCACAUUCACCAACUCCUUGUAGAGCUGGUGAUCAUUGUCAAAGUUCUACAGCAACCCCAGUAAACUGUGGUAGUUGACUGCAGACUUUGUCAUUUGAUAAUGAGUAAGGAAACGAAGGUAGGAUUUAGGCAG